ensembl:lncRNA
UUUCCCCCCCUCCCCGACGCUAACACUUCCCCCUUCUCCAGGAAAAGAAAUAAAACCCUCCUCCUUCGAGAAACACCGUGUCUGUGCGGGGAGGGAGGGAGGGGAGGGAGCGCCAGAGAUUGAUGGGAGCUUUAGAAAGGAUUUAUGAUUCCUUUCCCUUCAUGUUCUCUUUCCUCCCCCAUCGCCUUCCUUUAAAAUAAAUUUAAAAAUUGAGGUGGGGGUAGCUGGGGGAGGGAGAAAUAUCACCCAAGAUGGGCACGGGAGGGAGCCAAGCCGAGCUCCCACCUCAUCGGUGAUCUUCGCAAGAAAUGACCAACUGGAGGCAAUAGGAGUCAGCAGUUACUCUGCCUUUAUGGUGCCUGGAAUGGAUGCAUCAAACAGAUUUAAGUGUGAACAUGAAGUAAUUCACACCACUAUUUUCUAACUACAACAUGACCCUUUGGCAAUCUUAUUCUGGAGGAUAUCCACAUGGAACCCAUUUUUGUGACUGAAUCAAAAUAAGCCCAGCAGCCUGUGCAAACGAGAUGUCACACAAACUGGACAGAAAUCACUUCAUGGGCUUUGGAAGAAGCAUAAAUUCAAGCAGGUAAUGGAGAUGGUGUGAUGGAGAACAUUUCACAUAAGGACAGAAGAUUAUCUCUACUAGAUCAGAUUAAAGGCCUAUUUAGUCCAGCAUCCUGUUUUCUGCAGGGGCUAGCCACAUGGCUGUGGGAAGCCAACAGACAAAAGCCCUCUCCUGUUCUUUCUCAGGAAUUGGUAAACACCCAAGCCUUAUCUUCAAUCUUUGGGUGUCAACACCUGCGUUCAUCAGCAAAUCCUACUGCAUCCUUGUGAAAUAACUGAAUCUACUUUAAUGUUUUUACUCACUGUCUC